rnacentral:rRNA from 1 species
AUCACUAAGCGGAGGAAAAGAAACUAACAAGGAUUCCCUCAGUAACGGCGAGUGAAGCGGGACCAGCCCAGCACCGAAUCCCCCGGCCCAGCGUCGGCGGGAACUGUGGUGUAUGGGACGUCAACUGUCGUCCGUACCGGUGGCCGAAGUCCUCCUGAUCGGGGCCUCUCCCAGAGCGGGUGUCAGGCCUUUACUGGCUGCUGGUCGGUCGGCUGCGAGCGUCUCCCGAGUCGGGUUGUUUGGGAAUGCAGCCCUAAGCGGGUGGUAAACUCCAUCUAAGGCUAAAUACUGGCACGAGUCCGAUAGCGGACAAGUACCGUGAGGGAAAGUUGAAAAGAACUUUGAAGAGAGAGUUCAACAGUACGUGAAACCGCCUAGAGGUAAACGGGUGGAUCCGCAAAGUCGGCCCGCGGAAUUCAGCUCGGAAGGUUCAGCGGCGCCUGCUGGCUGGGUCGGAGAUCUUUAACCGGACUCUCCCGGCUGCAGGACGCCGCCCGACCGUGUGCACUUUCCGCGGGCAGAGCGCCACGACCGGUUCUCAGGGCGGUCAGAAGGCGGCCGGGGAUGGUAGGCGUGCGCUUCGCGGCGCGCGCUGGUAUAGCCCCGGCCUGUCCCGAUCCGCUCGGGGACCGAGGAGCCUCCGUCGGUGAUAAGGGCCGCCUCGCCCUCCGGGGAUGUCUCGACUGGCAGAGACUGGGCAACCGUGUCUGCCGACCGCUUCCCUGGAUGGACUUUGGGGUGGGCCCCGCCGACACAGGGUCGGUGGCGAAUCGGUCGGCCCUCC